rnacentral:tRNA from 1 species
CGACCUGUGAUGUAAUGGUCAGCAUGCUCGCCUCGCAAGUGAGCGGACCCGGGUUCGAUCCCCGGCAGGGUGA